GGCGAGGUUCCCUGUCCGUUAUCCAUGGGGGCACUCGAUCAUGCUGUGGGGCCUAGUUCAGUUUGGCCCUUAGACGCAUGUCGUCAAGAGCAUGGUGUGAGGGAGGGUUCGAUGCCC
rnacentral:ncRNA from 1 species